rnacentral:lncRNA from 1 species
UCGGGUCGAGCUUCUGAGCUCUGAACCGUGGCUGCCCCGGCGGUGGGCGAGCUGAGGUGAUCCCAGGACGACCCGUGGGGUGGGCCGACCGGGGAGCCUCCAGCCGCUGGCGGGGAGUGUAGGCCACCGAGGGACCGGCCCCUGGAUCCAGCCAGAGAGGUGCCUCAGCUAAGUAAGAAGUCAAACCUGAAGUCCUGCAGCUGACUCAUGGAGUAAUGGAUGUGUAUUGUCUCUGAUUCUAACGCACAUCACAAGAAGGGACCUGUUCCUUUCCGGUAGCAUCCCAGCCCAAAACUUGUGCCGUGAAAUCCAAGACUGUGACCCAGAUAAUGUAAUAGGAUCUUCCUAUGAUUUGGGGCCAUAUCCUACUUAGAUGAACUUGGGACAUCCAGCCUUACCAAGCACUUGGAACUACACACAGGCUCCGUGCUUGCUUGGUAUAGGUUACCAUGCCAUCUCUGCCUCAAGAUGGGGUUAUUCAGGGAUCAUCUCCCCUGGAGCUGAAUACAGAAUUACCUUAUCACUGCACAAUGAAAAGGAAAGUCAGAAAAAAGAAAAAGAAGGGAAUUAUUACAGCGAAUGUUGCUGGAACAAAGUUUGAAAUUGUUCGUUUAGUAAUAGAUGAGAUGGGAUUUAUCAAAACUCCUGAUGAAGACGAGACGAGCAACCUUAUCUGGUGCGAUGCUGCUGUUCAGCAGGAGAAGAUUACGGACCUGCAGAACUACCAGAGAAUCAACCAUUUUCCAGGAAUGGGGGAGAUCUGUAGGAAGGAUUUCUUAGCAAGAAAUAUGACGAAG